AUUGACGGGGACGUCACCCAUCGUAUAGGAGCGGGGUGGUCAAAGUGGAGGCUUGCAUCAGGAGUCCUGUGUGACAAGAAAGUUCCACACAAACUCAAGUGGAAAUUCUAUAGAGCCGUGGUUAGACCUGCGAUGUUGUAUGGGGCGGAGUGCUGACCCGUGAAGAACUCUCAUGUUCAGAGAAUGAAGGUUACCGAGAUGAGGAUGCUUA
rnacentral:lncRNA from 1 species